AAAGCAACUUAAUAGAAGCUGUUAUUGUGAUUAGUCUGUGCCUGUAGACUGUGAAGUUUUUCAAGGCAGUGCAACCAUUACUAUCGAACACUUGACGGGUGAAGUCAAACCUUUAGAGAUUAAAGUUGGAGACAGGAUUCCUGGUGGAGCAAGAAAUUUGGAUGGUAGGAUAAUUGUGAAGGCUACAAAAACGUGGAAAGAGUCAACCCUCAGCAAGAUAGUACAAUUGACUGAAGAAGCACGCUUGAAUAAACCAAAGCUUCAAAGGUGGCUUGACCAAUUUGGUGAGCAAUACAGCAAGGUUCUCGUAGUCUUGUCUGUAGCUAUUGCUCUCAUUGGUCCAUUUCUCUUCAAGUGGCCAUUCUUUGGAACAUCAGGUAGUAUUUAGUUUAUACAGUGCCCUCAUUAACUCUAAUACUAUCUAUUACAUUCUCCUGACGUACCCCAUUAUGGGAUUUAAAAUUUUAUGAAACACCUACUCUUACCUUAAAAUGGUCCUUUUUUAUUUGUUGGUUUCAAUCAGAGCUCAGCUUUAACUUUUU